AGUGAACGCUGGCGGCAGGCCUAACACAUGCAAGUCGAGCGGCAGCGCGGGGGCAACCCUGGCGGCGAGCGGCGGACGGGUGAGGAAUUCGUCGGAAUCUGCCUUUUUGUUGGGGAUAACGUAGGGAAACUUACGCUAAUACCGCAUACGUCCUACGGGAGAAAGUGGGGGACCGCAAGGCCUCACGCAGAAAGAUGAGCCCACGACCGAUUAGCUAGUUGGUGGGGUAAAGGCCCACCAAGGCGACGAUCGGUAGCUGGUCUGAGAGGAUGAUCAGCCACACUGGGACUGAGACACGGCCCAGACUCCUACGGGAGGCAGCAGUGGGGAAUAUUGGACAAUGGGCGCAAGCCUGAUCCAGCCAUGCCGCGUGUGUGAAGAAGGCCUUCGGGUUGUAAAGCACUUUUGUCCGGAAAGAAAUCCCUGGAGCUAAUACCUUCGGGGGAUGACGGUACCGGAAGAAUAAGCACCGGCUAACCUCGUG
rnacentral:rRNA from 1 species